AGAGCGAACGCUGGCGGCGUGCUUAACACAUGCAAGUCGAGUGCGCGCCUGUAGCAAUACAGGUGGCGCACGGCGCACGGGUGCGUGACACGUGGGUAAUCUGCCCUUCGAUGGGGAAUAACUCCGGGAAACCGAAGCUAAUUCCGCAUAACAUUCCUUGGACCUCGGUCUGGGGAUUCAAAGCCGUAAGGCGUCGGAGGAGGAACCCGCGCACGAUUAGUUAGUUGGCAGGGUAACGGCCUACCAAGACUUUGAUCGUUA
rnacentral:rRNA from 1 species